AUUGAACGCUGGCGGCAUGCCUUACACAUGCAAGUCGAACGGUAACGCGGGGCAACCUGGCGACGAGUGGCGAACGGGUGAGUAAUGUAUCGGAACGUGCCCAGUUGUGGGGGAUAACUGCUCGAAAGAGCAGCUAAUACCGCAUACGACCUGAGGGCGAAAGCGGGGGACCGCAAGCCCCCGGCAAAUGUGGGCGGCCGAUAUCAGAUUAGGUAGUUGGUGGGGUAAAGGCCCACCAAGCCAACGAUCUGUAGCUGGUCUGAGAGGACGACCAGCCACACUGGGACUGAGACACGGCCCAGACUCCUACGGGAGGCAGCAGUGGGGAAUUUUGGACAAUGGACGCAAGUCUGAUCCAGCCAUGCCGCGUGCGGGAAGAAGGCCUUCGGGUUGUAAACCGCUUUUGUCAGGGAAGAAACGCUCUGGGUUAAUACCUCGGGGUAAUGACGGUACCUGAAGAAUAAGCACCGGCUAACUACGUGCCAGCCGCCGCGGUAACAC
rnacentral:rRNA from 1 species